GGGAUUGCCCUAGUAACGGCGAGUGAAGCGGCAACAGCUCAAAUUUGAAAUCUGGCGUAAGCCCGAGUUGUAAUUUGUAGAGGAUGCUUCUGGGUAGCGGCCGGUCUAAGUUCCUUGGAACAGGACGUCAUAGAGGGUGAGAAUCCCGUAUGUGACUGGCUUGCACCCUCCACGUAGCUCCUUCGACGAGUCGAGUUGUUUGGGAAUGCAGCUCUAAAUGGGAGGUAAAUUUCUUCUAAAGCUAAAUACCGGCCAGAGACCGAUAGCGCACAAGUAGAGUGAUCGAAAGAUGAAAAGCACUUUGGAAAGAGAGUUAAAAAGCACGUGAAAUUGUUGAAAGGGAAGCGCCCGCAACCAGACUUUGCGGCGGUGUUCGGCUGGUCUUCUGACCGGUUUACUCGCCGCCGUGAGGCCAUCAUCGUCUGGGACCGCUGGAUAAGACCUGAGGAAUGUAGCUCCCUUCGGGGUGUGUUAUAGCCUCUGGUGAUGCAGCGCGUCUCGGGCGAGGUCCGCGCUUCGGCAAGGAUGAUGGCGUAAUGGUUGUCGGCGGCCCGUCUUGAAACACGGACCAAGGAGUCUAACAUCUAUGCGAGUGUUCGGGUGUCAAACCCCUACGCGUAAUGAAAGUGAACGGAGGUGGGAACUUUUUGUGCACCAUCGACCGAUCCUGAUGUCCUCGGAUGGAUUUGAGUAAGAGCAUAGCUGUUGGGACCCGAAAGAUGGUGAACUAUGCCUGAAUAGGGUGAAGCCAGAGGAAACUCUGGUGGAGGCUCGCAGCGGUUCUGACGUGCAAAUCGAUCGUCAAAUUUGGGUAUAGGGGCG
rnacentral:rRNA from 3 species